AUUGAACGCUGGCGGCAGGCCUAACACAUGCAAGUCGAACGAGUGGCGGACGGGUGAGUAAUGUCUGGGAAACUGCCUUAUGGAGGGGGAUAACUACUGGAAACGGUAGCUAAUACCGCAUACCAUCGGAUGUGCCCAGAUUGGAUUAGCUAGUAGGUGGGGUAAAGGCUCACCUAGGCGACGCGCCCUAGCUGGUCUGAGAGGAUGACCAGCCAAACGGGAACUGAGACACGGGCCAGACUCCUACGGGAGGCAGCAGUGGGGAAUAUUGCACAAUGGGCGCAAGCCUGAUGCAGCCAUGCCGCGUGUAUGAAGAAGGCCUUCGGGUUGUAAAGUACUGUCAGCGGGGAGGCGUUACCCGCAGAAGAAGCACCGGCUAACUCCGUGCCAGCAGCCGCGGAAAUUC
rnacentral:rRNA from 1 species